CCGGCCUGAGAGGGUGACCGGCCACAUUGGGACUGAGAUACGGCCCAGACUCCUACGGGAGGCAGCAGUGGGGAAUAUUGCACAAUGGGCGGAAGCCUGAUGCAGCAACGCCGCGUGCGGGAUGACGGCCUUCGGGUUGUAAACCGCUUUCGCCUGUGACGAAGCGUGAGUGACGGUAAUGGGUAAAGAAGCACCGGCUAACUACGUGCCAGCAGCCGCGGUGAUACGUAGGGUGCGAGCGUUGUCCGGAUUUAUUGGGCGUAAAGGGCUCGUAGGUGGUUGAUCGCGUCGGAAGUGUAAUCUUGGGGCUUAACCCUGAGCGUGCUUUCGAUACGGGUUGACUUGAGGAAGGUAGGG
rnacentral:rRNA from 1 species